AUUACUCUACCAGGUUCGGAAGAGUUAUCAGACCUGUGCGCAGACUUAUUGAAUCCAUGGUUCAACUUGAGACCCUGUUAGGUUUGGAUUCUGGGUCAACAGUACUUCAUGUUUGAAUUAGCAGUUUUUGCAACUUGCUUUUGUUUCUCGAUUUUUCUAAGUAAAACUUGCCUUAAUUGAGCAUGUGGUCUAAGUGUACGAGGUGUAAUGGGCACCUUGAUGAAGUCUACAGAAUGUGCUGAAAUUUGGCCAAUUUCAAAACAUUUUUAUCCUUUGUUUGGGAAGCUUUUGAUUGCUGACUGUCUUCACUGAUUGUUUAGAGUGUGGACAAUGUAAUUCUUUGACCAGUGUACAGAUUUUUUUGUGUUUUUCUCAGAGUUUUGUGUAAUUCUAGGGGGGUGAGUGUAACGGGUAUGGAAAUUAAUGUUCAUUUCAUUUAUAGAAUUACACAAAAACUGUUCAAAAUGUAUACCUGAAUAUGUAUGUCUGUGUGUGCACUUUCCCCUUUAAAUUUCUGACGGAAGAAUUGAUUUUAAUUUCCUGUCUUUGCGCCUCCUCUUCCCUUUCUGCGCUGUCUGUGCAUGGGAGAGAAAAGACAAGGGCGAAAAACACACUGUAAAAGACUUGUGUUAUGUUUAACAGUAAAUGAAGAACCGUCAACUGAUGUCCG